rnacentral:rRNA from 1 species
AUGUACAGCGUGGAGAGGCGCGCUCCUGCCCGAGCUCCUGUGCCCGCGCCUCGCGCCUCCUUGCACCGCUCCGGUGGCCACUCGCCACCCGCCGUCGCCAGCGACCGUCGCACCUCUCCGCGCGCCACCCUGAGGCUCCAGCCACGCCGCGCCGCCGUCCUCCGCAACCCCGGCCGACUCCUCGAUCUCGCCUCUCCGUGCGAACAAACGGCGUCGCCGCCGGCGGCCACGGCCACCGUGCUUGAGCUGACGGGCGCCGACCGCACGGGGCUCAUCUUCGAGGUGUUCGCCGUGCUGGCCGACAUGAGCUGCAGCGUCUUCGAUGCCAGGGCGUGGUCACAUCGCGGCCGCCUCGCCUGCCUCGUCUACCUGCGGGACGAGGAUGUGGCCGCCGCCGGUGUGGAGCGCAUCGACGGUCAAGGCCCGCCUCGCCCCCCUCCUCCGCGGAGACUCGGAAGCCAGCGGUCACCAAAACUUCUGCUCCCAAGGGCCCCUUUUCCAUCCGCCGUCACCGCGCUCCGAGCGUGA